UCUUCGAAGAUCUGAGUUGAGGUAUGGAAUUAGAUUUCAAUUGAAUUAGUUUCGAGGAUGAAAUUAUUUUAAGGGGUGGAGAAUGUAAUAUACCGAAACUCGGUAGACUAUAUCGAACAUUAGUCAAAUUGACUAAGGGGUGCGAGAGAAAUAGUUGGACAAAGUCCAUUUAACAUUCUAACGAUGUUGGAAGGGUUAAAGUUGAGUUCCAAGAGAGAUUAAAGGGUUUUAGUAUUGAUCGAAGCGAAACAAUGCAAAACUGCAGUCUGGUGCGUUGUUAACCGGUAAA
rnacentral:lncRNA from 1 species